CCAACUUUAGAUUCAUAAUCUGCUCACAGCUUAUGAGAACUUACAGCUUCAUCCCUAGACAGGGCUGUGGUCUCUCAAGAAGGCAGCAGUGUGGUCUAAAAGAUGAGACUGCUGGGUCUGAUCCUGUGCCUGGUGACAGCUCUCCAUGGUGUCCUGUCCCAGGUGCAGCUGCAGGAGUCAGGGUCUGGCCUGGUGGGGCCCUCUCAGACCCUGUCCCUCACCUGCUCAGUUUCUGGAUUCUCCAUCACAACCAAUGGUUAUGCUUGGGGCUGGAUCCGUCAGCCUCCAGGAAAGAGCCUGGAGUGGAUGGGGCACAUAUGGUACGAUGCUGACACUUACUACAACCCAUCCAUUAAGAACCGCAUCUCCAUCUCCAGAGACACAGGAAAGAACCAGUUCUCCCUGCAGCUGAGCUCUAUCACUACAGAAGACACAGCCACCUAUUACUGCGCAAGAUACACAGUGCUUUAGUACAAUUGUGAGCCC